CAUUAAGAAGCUAUGGAACAGCACUAGCCUUUUAAGCUAGAGACAGGGGACCCACCUCCCCCUUAAUGA
rnacentral:tRNA from 1 species